rnacentral:rRNA from 1 species
CCUACGGGAGGCAGCAGUGAGGAAUUUUUCGCAAUGGGGGCAACCCUGACGAAGCAAUGCCGCGUGGAUGAAGAAGGCCUUCGGGUUGUAAAGUCCUUUCGUGGGGGACGAAAAGGCGGAUCCGAAUACGGUCUGCUAUUGACGUGAACCCAAGAAGAAGCACCGGCUAACUCCGUGCCAGCAGCCGCGGUAAUACGGAGGGUGCGAGCGUUAAUCGGAAUUACUGGGCGUAAAGGGCGCGUAGGCGGUGGGUUACGUCUGCCGUGAAAUCCCCGGGCUCAACCUGGGAAUGGCGGUGGAAACGGGCUGACUGGAGUAUGGGAGAGGGUGAUGGAAUUCCAGGUGUAGCGGUGAAAUGCGUAGAGAUCUGGAGGAACACAGUGGCGAAGGCGGUCACCUGGCCCAAUACUGACGCUGAGCGCGAAAGCGUGGGGAGCAAACAGGAUUAGAUACCCUGGUAUCCACGCCCUAAAGAUGGAUACUGGAUGCUUGGCGCCUUAGGUGCUGAGUGUCGUACUACGCGAUAACUAUCCCGCCUGGGAAGUACGGCGAAGGUUAAAACUCAAAGGAAUUGACGGGG